AAUGGGACUGCCUACGCAAGUAGUGAGGAAGGUGGGGAUGACGUCAAGUCAGCAUGGCCCUUACGUCUAGGGCUACACACGUGCUACAAUGGGUACUACAACGGGUUGCUAAACCGCGAGGUGGUGCUAAUCCCUUAAAAGUAUCCUCAGUUCGGAUUGCAGUCUGAAACUCGACUGCAUGAAGCUGGAAUUGCUAGUAAUCGCGCAUCAGCACGGCGCGGUGAAUACGUUCCCGGGCCUUGUACACACCGCCCGUCAAGCCAUGGAAGCCGGGGGUACCCAAAGCCAGUGACCUAACCGCAAGGAAGGAGCUGUCUAAGGUAAAACCGGUGACUGGGGCUAAGUCGUAACAAGGUAGCCGUACCGGAAGGUGCGGCUGGAUCACCUCCUUU
rnacentral:ncRNA from 1 species